CCACAGUAAAUACAGUAACCACACUAACCACAGUAACCACAGUAACCACAGUAAAUACAGUAACCACACCAACCACAGUAACCACAGUAACCACAGUAACCACAGUAACCAGACUAACCACAGUAACUCCCUCACUCCUGCUCGCGUGCGCACGGUGCCGAGGAGAGGGAGCGCCGCUGACUGAGAUUACUCAGCUUACUCUUGAGUCCUUGUUGAGGUCAUGGCCACCUGCGCAGCCUCCACCACGCCUGCCACUACAAGCUAGCAUAAACUUGGUGAGAUCUGCAGAGACGUUGGGGAGCUUCCUCAGCGUGCUGGACGUCCGUGUCUGCAGGUUUGGCUGAAGUGGACUGUGGUGGAAAGGCCUUCUCGCCUUCUUGUCCCAGUCCCUGCGAGGAAGAGUAGCACCGGAUGUCCUCAUCAUCCACUGUGGCGGCAACAACAUGGGGAGGUCAGCAGCGUCAAGCUGGUCAACAUGAUGGAGGAAGACCUGGUGCCAAUCCGGUGAAGCUCGACAAGGCCAGGAAACCUGUCAGCGCUGUUGAGUCCAUCUAUCUGUCUGUGGAUGCACAACAGGAAGUGCUCCGUCUUGUCGGUAUCCCAGGUAGCAGAGGAGAGGUUGUCAUGGCGAUAGAGACCAAGAAUUAGCUCCAGACUGUCUCUGAUGAAAACCAG